rnacentral:rRNA from 1 species
UACAGAGGUGGCAAGCGUUGUUCGGAAUUACUGGGCGUAAAGGGCGAGUAGGUGGCCAUCUAAGUCAGACGUGAAAUCCCCCGGCUUAACCUGGGAACUGCGUCUGAUACUGGACGGCUUGAGUAUGGGAGAGGGAUGUAGAAUUCCAGGUGUAGCGGUGAAAUGCGUAGAUAUCUGGAGGAAUACCGGUGGCGAAGGCGGCAUCCUGGACCAUUACUGACACUGAUCCGCGAAAGCUAGGGAGCAAACGGG